UGGGGAAUAUUGCACAAUGGGCGAAAGCCUGAUGCAGCGACGCCGCGUGGGGGAUGAAGGCCUUCGGGUUGUAAACUUCUUUUGCUCUGAACAAGGCAUGCCUUUGGGGUGUGUUGAGUGUAGGGGUUGAUUAGCGCCGGCUAACUACGUGCCAGCAGCCGCGGUAAUACGUAGGGCGCGAGCGUUGUCCGGAAUUAUUGGGCGUAAAGGGCUUGUAGGUGGCUGGUUGCGUCUGUCGUGAAAGCUCAUGGCUUAACUGUGGGUUUGCGGUGGGUACGGGCUGGCUUGAGUGCAGUAGGGGAGGCUGGAAUUCCUGGUGUAGCGGUGGAAUGCGCAGAUAUCAGGAGGAAUACCGGUGGCGAAGGCGGGUCUCUGGGCUGUUACUGACGCUGAGGAGCGAAAGCGUGGGGAGCGAACAGG
rnacentral:rRNA from 1 species